UCCCCCCUCACAGGCCAUUACCCUUAAAGCAACAUUGUUUGGCUGCAGUAAGGAUCUAUCUUAAAAACGAAGAAAGCAGUAGGAAGAACGAUUGCAGUCAGCCAAGACUAGAAGUCUCCAAAAAAUGGGUCUUGGGGCUCACAUAUACUCGGCUCACCAGGAAAAGGGGAUCUGCACCAGGCACCACACAGCAACAGCAUCACCAAUGAAACUGCUUCCAUUUCUAGUUCUGAUUUCCAGUCUGCUGGACUAUGGCUGCACUUCUGCAAGCUGCAACAUAACAUGCCACAAAGAUGCCAGGUGUGAAGUUCGGGGU
rnacentral:lncRNA from 1 species